UGGGGAAUAUUGCACAAUGGGCGCAAGCCUGAUGCAGCAAUGCCGCGUGAGUGAAGACGGCCUUAGGGUUGUAAAACUCUUUCGCUAGGGAAGAUAAUGACGGUACCUAGUAAAGAAGUCCCGGCUAACUCCGUGCCAGCAGCCGCGGUAAUACGGAGGGGGUUAGCGUUGUUCGGAAUUACUGGGCGUAAAGCGCACGUAGGCGGACCAGAAAGUUGGGGGUGAAAUCCCGGGGGCUCAACCCCGGAACUGCCUCCAAAACUAUUGGUCUAGAGUUCGAGAGAGGUGAGUGGAAUUCCAAGUGUAGAGGUGAAAUUCGUAGAUAUUUGGAGGAACACCAGUGGCGAAGGCGGCUCACUGGCUCGAUACUGACGCUGAGGUGCGAAAGUGUGGGGAGCAAAACAGGAUUAGAUACCCUGGUAGUCCACGCCGUAAAACGAUGAGUGCUAGAUGUUGGGAUUUUCGGAUUUCAGUGUCGCAGCUAACGCAUUAAGCACUCCGCCUGGGGAGUACGGCCGCAAGGUUAAAACUCAAAAGG
rnacentral:rRNA from 1 species